AAAGAAGUGUGUAGAAACAUCCGCUUCUACCGAAAGAAAAAAAAAGAGAAAAGAAAUGAAAAAGAGAAAUGAGGCAUAAGCACUUGCCUAAGUCAAAGAGUCAUGCAUCAACGUGAUACUAAAAAGAAAAAUUGAGUGAAAAAGAGUCAAGUUGGACAAAACCCCAUAAAAUAAUUUGUGCACAAAGAAAAGCAACAACAUGAAUGUCGAGUUUUAAACCUUUGUCAUCCAUUUUCUU
rnacentral:lncRNA from 1 species